rnacentral:rRNA from 1 species
UACAGAGGUCUCAAGCGUUGUUCGGAUUCAUUGGGCGUAAAGGGUGCGUAGGCGGCGCGGUAAGUCGGGUGUGAAAUCUCGGAGCUUAACUCCGAAACUGCAUUCGAUACUGCCGUGCUUGAGGACUGGAGAGGAGACUGGAAUUUACGGUGUAGCGGUGAAACGCGUAGAUAUCGUAAGGAAGACCAGUGGCGAAGGCGGGUCUCUGGACAGUUCCUGACACUGAGACACGAAGGCCAGGGGAGCAAACGGG